rnacentral:RNase_P_RNA from 1 species
ACAGUCGGCCGGUCUGUCGCUCGUUUAACGGGAGGAAAGUCCGGGCAACGCAGGGCUCCAUACUUCCUAACGGGAAGCCGUUCGUAAGGGCGGAGUAGCAUAACAGAAAAGAACCGCCGGUUUACCGGUAAGGGUGAAAAGGUGAGGUAAGAGCUUACCGGGCUUUACGGUGACGUAGAGUGCCGUAUGUCUUAUGGGUUGCAAGGUCAUGUACACCGGCGUUUGAGGGUUGCCCGCCUGAUGCCGGGGGGUAGACCGCUUGAGCUUGCCGGUGACGGUAAGUGUAGAUAAAUGGCAGACACUUUCGGAAGAAAGUACAGAACCCGGCUUACAGGCCGGCUGUCUUU